rnacentral:lncRNA from 1 species
CUGAUAGAUUAUUGUGACUUUAUAUUAUAUAAGGUAGGACCAACUGCUAGUCUCAAAUGGCAGAUAGGAUUGGGGGGGGGGGGGGGGGGGGGGAUUUAAUAUUAAAAGACAUAAUCCUCUAUUCCAUAACAGACAGAAAUCUAAUAAAUAAAUAAUUUCGAUUAUCACUAUGUUUAAUUGUUGAAGACUAUUUCAGGGAGCAUGAUAUGUUGUAAGUAGGUUACUGUUACUUAAUACAUGCUAGAUUCCAGGGACAGGAUAUUCCUCUGAUUUAUUUGUUAUGCUCCAUGGCAGAGGGGGCAUUACAUUUAACCCUUAUCCAUCUGUACUUCUGGUCAUACGUCCAAGAAUUAGUUUCCAUUCUAUAACUUGAGUGUGUCUCUAUCAAAUGUUUAUUACCACAAACUCAGAUCUAGAAAGAAUUUGGGCAGUUUCUUUUUAGCUCACCUGGCCCAAAGGGCCAAGUGAGCUUUUCUCAUCACUUGGCGUCCGGCGUCCGUCGUCCGUCGUCCGUCGUCCGUCGUCGUCGUCGUCGUCGUCCGUCGUUAGCUUUUACAAAAAUCUUCUCCUCUGAAACUACUGGGCCAAUUUUUACCAAACUUGGCCACAAUCAUUAUUAGGGUAUCUAGUUUAAAAAUUGUGUCCGGUGACCCGGCCAACCAACCAAGAUGGCCGCCAUGGCUAAAAAUAGAACAUAGGGGUAAAAUGCAGUUUUUGGCUUAUAACUCAAAAACCAAAGCAUUUAGAGCAAUCUGACAUGGGGUAAUAUUGUUCAUCAGGUCAAGAUCUAUCUGCCCUGAAAUUUUCAGAUGAAUCGGACAUUCCGUUGUUGGGUUACUGCCCCUGAAAUGGUAAUUUUAAGGAAAUUUUGCUGUUUUUGGUUAUCUUGAAUAUUAUCAUAGAUAGAGGUAAACUGUAAACAGCAAAAAUGUUCAGUGAAGUAAGAUCUACAAAUAAGUCAACAAUACCAAAAUGGUCUGUUGACCCCUUUAGGAGUUAUUGCCCUUUAUAGUCAAUUUUUAACCAUUUUUCGUAAAUCUUGGUCAUCUUUUACAAAAAUCUUCUCCUCUGAAACUACUGGGCCAAAUUAAACCAAACUUGACCACAAUCAUCAUUGGGUAUUUAGUUAAAAAAAUAUGUCCGGUGAACUGGCCAGCCAACCAAGAUGGCCGCCAUGGCUAAAAAUAGAACAUAGGGGUAAAAUGCAGUUUUUGGCUUAUCACUCAAAAACCAAAGCAUUUAGAGCAAAUCUGUCAUCAGGUAAAAUUGUUUAUCAGGUCAAGAUCUAUCUGCCCUGAAAUUUUGAGAUGAAUUGGACAACCCGUUGAUAGGUUGCUGCCCCUGAAUUGGUAAUUUUAAGGACAUUUUGCUGUUUUUG